GGAGCCACUUUGGGGCGGCUGUGUGACCUUGGCCAUGCUUAAUCUCACUGUGUCUCCAUUUCAUCCUUGGUAAAAUGGAAAUAUUAACAGCUACCUCGAGGGACAGCCAAGCACUAACGCCUGUGAGUUGAUGCACUUAACACAGUGAUUGGCACACGGUAAAAGCUCUACAUUCCCUCAUAUACAAAACAAGGAAAUUGGAC